AGAGUGAACGCUGGCGGUAGGCCUAACACAUGCAAGUCGAACGGCAGCACAGUGGUAGCAAUACCAUGGGUGGCGAGUGGCGGACGGGUGAGGAAUACAUCGGAAUCUACCUUUUCGUGGGGGAUAACGUAGGGAAACUUACGCUAAUACCGCAUACGCCCUUCGGGGGAAAGCCGGGGAUCGCAAGACCUGGCGCGGAUAGAUGAGCCGAUGUCGGAUUAGCUAGUUGGUGAGGUAAUGGCUCACCAAGGCGACGAUCCGUAGCUGGUCUGAGAGGAUGAUCAGCCACACUGGAACUGAGACACGGUCCAGACUCCUACGGGAGGCAGCAGUGGGAAUAUUGGACAAUGGGCGCAAGCCUGAUCCAGCCAUACCGCGUGGGUGAAGAAGGCCUUCGGUUGUAAAGUCCCUUUGGUACGGAAAGAAAAGCAAUCGGUUAAUACCCGGUUAGUUCGUAGACGUAACCAAAG
rnacentral:rRNA from 1 species